rnacentral:lncRNA from 1 species
CACGGGGCUUCAAGCCUUGUUCCCUCUAGUCUCUUCCUGCUGCUUUUCCACCAGUGUCUCAGGCUACUGCAGUUUCACCUCACCUCUCUUUCCAGCGCUGGUGCAGAGGAAAAUAUUCUCGGCAGCUGGGCUCCCAAGCCAUGGGUGCCUGUGUCCUCCAGGUAGAUACACCAUGUCCCUCUUUCUCCUCCAGUUUCUGAGGAUACAGUUUCCUUCUUCUAGACUAAGGACUUCUUAUUGUUAUCCUUUUCCAUGGCAAUCAGAGCUCUUGCCAAUGAGUAAGACUGGCCAUGAGAAAGCUAAAUUGGACAAGUAUAACAUGGAUGCCAGAGUGAUAUCACAGACUACAAAGACAUGA